GACGAACGCUGGCGGCGUGCUUAACACAUGCAAGUCGAACGGAAAGGCCCCCACCUUGGUGGGGGUGCUCGAGUGGCGAACGGGUGAGUAACACGUGGGUGAUCUGCCCUGUACUUCGGGAUAAGCUUGGGAAACUGGGUCUAAUACCGGAUAGGACCAUGGUUUAGUGUCUCAUGGUGGAAAAAUUAUUGUUUUGGUGCAGGAUGAGCUCGCGGCCUAUCAGCUUGUUGGUGGGGUAAUGGCCUACCAAGGCGUCGACGGGUAGCCGGCCUGAGAGGGUGGACGGCCACAUUGGGACUGAGAUACGACCCAGACUCGUACGGGAGGCAGCAGUGGGGAAUAUUGCACAAUGGGCGCAAGCCUGAUGCAGCGACGCCGCGUGGGGGAUGACGGCCUUCGGGUUGUAAACUCCUUUCGUUAGGGACGAAGCCACACCUUUUUUGGGUGUGGUGACGGUACCUUUGUUAAGAAGCACCGGCUAACUACGUG
rnacentral:rRNA from 1 species